rnacentral:snRNA from 1 species
GGUCUCUAAACAUCGAUUGCUAUCAAUGGUUAGAAACAUAAAAGAUUAGCAUGGCUUUUGCACAAUGAUGACAUGCAAAAUUAUGAGCUAUUCCAUAUGUUC